rnacentral:tRNA from 1 species
GGAGGUGCCGUGGCUCAGUGGUAGAGCAUUUGCCUGGCAUGCAGAAGUUCCCAGGUUCAAUUCCCAGCAUCUCCA